rnacentral:lncRNA from 1 species
AUGUUGUCUCUAAUGGCAACACCUCCAGCAGCUCACAAGCCGUGGGCGUCACCAAGAUCGCCAAAUCUGUUAUCGCUCCAUUGGCCGAGCAACAUGUGUCCGUCUUCAUGCUCUCCACCUAUCAAACCGACUUUAUUCUGGUGCGAGAGAAGGACCUGUCGGUGGUGGUGGAGACUCUGGUGGAGGAGUUUAAUAUUUUCAGAGAGGAGGGAGGAGAGUCAGUGCCUGUCCACAGUCAGGACGCCUGCAACGGCCUUCAGCGAAACGGCAGAGAGGGUGAGACCACAGUGAAAGAAGGGCAUAUACACUACCAAAAAAUGUUUGGGGUCGAUAUAAAGUCUUUCCAAGGAUGCAUAUAUUUAAUAAAAAUACAGUAAAAAGAGCAAUGUUAUAUUAUAUUAUUAUUAAAAUGUAUUUAUUUCUGUGAUCAAAUCUGAAUUUUCGGCGUUAUUACUCAGGCUACGUUUACACGACAACGAUGUAGUCAAACACGGGAAAGUUUUUCCCUCGUGUUUUAAAAGUUUACACACAUACAUGACAACGUUUUCAAAACGAUUCACGUUUACACAUAGCCUCGAAACCUGUAGGGAAGUGACGAUUGUAUGUUGUAUAUGAUGCGUCUCCGCUGUUGGUUGUAUUAUUGGUGAAGUAAAUCCACACUUGAGCAGCAACAACAGUACCAUACUCCGCCAUUGUUGUGUAUGUUUGUUGGCGCUUGCCUUUAAAAAUCGACAAGUACUGCGCAUGUCUACAUACCUAACACAUACUACUCAUGCGCAUGACGUCACCAUUUUCGAAGAUUCCCGUAUUGGGUGUUUACAUGGAAACGAUAAUGGUGCUGUUUUCAAAAAACUUAGUCACUUUGUAACCCGUUUUCAAAAAUAUGUGUUUCAGUCCCCAAAAUGCUGUUGUCGUGUAAACGAACACGCAAAAUGCAUAAAAAGACUUUAAUGAAUAGAAAGUUCAAAGAUGAACAGCAUUUAUUUGAAACAGAAUUUUUUGCAACAAUAUAAGA